rnacentral:lncRNA from 1 species
UUUGUCAGUCUUCCUCAGACCUGUUUGCUCAUUUUCAGAGACACCAGAAAGUUUUCUGAAUAAAUACAAGAAGCCUCUUCUGGAGUCUCCAGGAAAACGGACGAUAAUUUGUAGCUCAAUGUAUCUCCACUUUUUUUUUUUUUCUGUGACUUGCUGACGUGUAUCUUGAAUUGGAGAGAGUAAAAUGAAGAAUUUGAACUCCUGGGCCAGAAACAUGCAAGUGGUUCGGAUCAAGGUAAUUUUGAUCCCUGCUGACUUCAGAGGACAGUUUGAAAGGAGACUUCUUCCCUUCUCUCAAGGGCUGAUUGCUGACGUCCAAAUAUGUCUCAAGGUUUAGUUCCUUGUAGAUGGAGCCAUCUCCCCAAAUAUGGAAAGUUCUCCUUUGAGUUUAAUCAAAUCAAGGCAGAGAAUUUUCUCCAUACUGAACAAAAUAUACAGUGCACUUCUGUGUUUCUUGUAAAGCACCUCAGAUCUGUGUAUGAGGAUGGCCUAAAAUUCCACUAACAGACUUCAAGAAGGAAAAAAUCAGCGUGAGUAAAAAAUUGUAAAUAAUUACCCAUUUCUAUAUCAAAGUUCAAACUUCUCUCUUGAAAUAGUGAACCAACUCAAAUAACAACAUCAGGGAAUGUCCUUGUUUAGGGAUAAUUAAUGGCCUUGGACUUUUCUCACUGUUUAUUAUGUACAGCCAAAUAGGAAAGGAAAAUGUUAACAGCUCAAAGGCUAAAGCUGCAGUGAAUGUAUGCAGCAGAUUUAUGUGUUCAGUUUUUGUCUUGAGAAGGCGCUAACCUUAAUUUCACAUGUUAUUUUAUUAUGCUGAACAAAGAAAAG